rnacentral:rRNA from 1 species
UACAGAGGGUGCGAGCGUUACUCGGAAUUACUGGGCGUAAAGCGCGCGUAGGCGGCUUUUCAAGUCGAUUGUGAAAUCCCCGGGCUUAACCUGGGAACUGCAGUCGAGACUGUCUAGCUAGAGUAUGGGAGAGGGAUGCGGAAUUCCAGGUGUAGCGGUGAAAUGCGUAGAUAUCUGGAGGAACACCGGUGGCGAAGGCGGCAUCCUGGACCAAUUCUGACGCUGAGUGAGCGAAAGCCAGGGGAGCAAACGGG